AGGUACCACUGUCGUAGUAAAAGGAGAGGAGGAGGAUGAGAUGCAAGACUAACGUUGUCACUUUCCAUUCUCGCCUUGAAGCAGGUUCCAGACAUCAGGACGGAUCCUAUGCACCAGCCACCUCGCCGUUUAUAAAGCAUUUCCAGGGGAGCCAGGGGCCCCGCCGUCUGCCCGCCUUGGUGGAGGGGCUCUUACCUUCAGACAGCAGGCUCAAGGCCUCGUCGGAAGUGUGCCCGCCGGCCCGCACCUCCUUCCCGGCAGCGGGGCUCGCCCGGGCCUCACAGGAGCCCUUCGGGGACGGGGGACCCCGCUCGGCGGCCGAGGUGCUCAUCGAUUCCCACUGGAUCUCCUUCCUGGGAGCCCGAAAAGCCGGCCGGCAGCCUGUCCAGCCGUGGAAGGCCAGGGACAGCAGGAACCCUUGGGCUGGAUUCAGUAUCCCCUGGCAGGGAGGACAGAGAGACAGGGGAAGAACAUUUUAAAUUAAGAUGGACCUACCAUCAUGAACCACGUGGUCUUGGCUGCAUUUCUGACCUGUUUCAAAGAGGCUCCAUUGAUAUCUGGUUGCAUUUCAAGAUAGAAUAAAAGGCUUUCAUUGAUGAUAUUCGACACCCAACUGUUAGAAAGAAAACGGCCCACAGCUUGUGGGAUCUUAGUUCCCCAACCAGGGAUGGAACCCAUGCCCCCUGCAGUGGAAGCGCGGAGUCCUAACCACUGGACCGCCGGGGAAGUCCCACUCUACCCUUCUUGCCUGAGCGGUGAGUCAUAACACUAAAGAUGGGCCCUUGCCCUAUUAUCUUGUCAGAUACAGGAAUCCUGGUGUCAAGACUGAUGCAAGGACUUCCCUGGUGGUCCAGUGGUUAGGACUCCACGCUUCCACUACAGGAUGUGCGGGUUUGAUCCC